UACGUAGGCAGCAAGCGUUGUUCGGAAUUACUGGGCGUAAAGAGUGUGUAGGCGGUGCUCUAAGUUCGUUGUGAAAUCUCCCGGCUUAACUGGGAGGGUGCGGCGGAAACUGGAGUGCUUGAGCGCGGGAGAGGAAAGCGGAAGUUCCUGGUGUAGCGGUGAAAUGCGUAGAUAUCAGGAGGAACACCGGUGGCGAAGGCGGCGUUCUGGACUGUUACUGACACUGGAGGAACGAAAGCCAGGGGAGCAAACGGG
rnacentral:rRNA from 1 species